rnacentral:rRNA from 1 species
GAUGAACGCUGGCGGCGUGCCUAAUACAUGCAAGUCGAGCGAACAGACGAGGAGCUUGCUCCUCUGACGUUAGCGGCGGACGGGUGAGUAACACGUGGAUAACCUACCUAUAAGACUGGGAUAACUUCGGGAAACCGGAGCUAAUACCGGAUAAUAUAUUGAACCGCAUGGUUCAAUAGUGAAAGACGGUUUUGCUGUCACUUAUAGAUGGAUCCGCGCCGCAUUAGCUAGUUGGUAAGGUAACGGCUUACCAAGGCGACGAUGCGUAGCCGACCUGGGAGGGUGAUCGGCCACACGGGAACUGAGCCACGGUCCAGACUCCUACGGGAGGCAGCAGUAGGGAAUCUUCCGCAAUGGGCGAAAGCCUGACGGAGCAACGCCGCGUGAGUGAUGAAGGUCUUCGGAUCGUAAAACUCUGUUAUUAGGGAAGAACAAAUGUGUAAGUAACUAUGCACGUCUUGACGGUACCUAAUCAGAAAGCCACGGCUAACUACGUG